GCACACCCUGGGGUUGUUGGGGUGGGGAGGGAUUCCCAUUCCUGCAUUGCAAUGUGAAGUGUUCCUGAAUAAACCUGCUUGAAGAAGGACAACGUGGUGUUGUGCCUUUCCUGCUGGUCAAGGUGGAUUCAACAAGUGGUGGAACCUGUACCGAGACUUCUGCUUCUCGAGAGUGCUGCGGGUCCAGAACUUCAAGAGGUCAGAGUAGCCGGCUGGAAAGCUCCCAGGUAAUCUAAACUGCAAGUCCCAUGCUGCUUUCUGGUUACAAAUGUAAGCUGGAGAACAUGUGCUUGAGUGGCAGCCAAGAAUCUGACUGCAUCCUGGGAGGAAGGAAGGACACUACUCCACUGCAUGGUUCCAAGAGGCCCUGUCUCUGGAUGAGUCCCUUACUGGUGCCCAUUACUCUGGGAAACCAGAAAUAGGAAUGUGUGGAAGCACCAAAGACAUGGGUCUUCAGGUUCCUCCCUGCUUCACGAAUCUGAAGGGAAAGCACACAAGAUGAGGAAGAGCUUAGCAGUCUGAAUUCCUAAUGGAUUUACACCCAGGAGUGAGGUUGCUGGAUCAUUGUUAUCUUUUUGACAAGGAUUUCCUGUAAUAAUAAAGUCAGGUUAAGGCCAAGGUUGAAAGUAAAAUCAUGUUAAUGCAAACAAAAUGUGUCUGAACACAGAUGGGAUCAAGAGUAGAAAUGAAUCAAGUGUAAAAGAAAAUCUGAGGCUGAAUAUUCACAUGCCAUUUUGAAGAAUCUGAAAUGGGUAAAAAGGACAAGAAUCGGGAUUAUGAAGGGGACAUAGUGCUUCGCAUGCUGAUAACACCUCACUCAAGAAAAUGAUUUGUCGGGGGCUGGUGAGAUGGCUUAGUGGGUAAGAGCACCUGACUGCUCUUCUGAAGGUCCUGAGUUCAAAUCCCAGC